rnacentral:rRNA from 1 species
AUUGAACGCUGGCGGCAUGCCUUACACAUGCAAGUCGAACGGUAACGGGCCUUCGGGUGCCGACGAGUGGCGAACGGGUGAGUAAUACAUCGGAACGUGCACGAUCGUGGGGGAUAACGAGGCGAAAGCUUUGCUAAUACCGCAUACGAUCUACGGAUGAAAGCAGGGGACCGCAAGGCCUUGCGCGGACGGAGCGGCCGAUGGCAGAUUAGGUAGUUGGUGGGAUAAAAGCUUACCAAGCCGACGAUCUGUAGCUGGUCUGAGAGGAUGAUCAGCCACACUGGGACUGAGACACGGCCCAGACUCCUACGGGAGGCAGCAGUGGGGAAUUUUGGACAAUGGGCGCAAGCCUGAUCCAGCCAUGCCGCGUGCAGGAUGAAGGCCUUCGGGUUGUAAACUGCUUUUGUACGGAACGAAAAGCCUUCUUUUAAUACAGGAGGGUCAUGACGGUACCGUAAGAAUAAGCACCGGCUAACUACGUG